UACAGAGGUCUCGAGCGUUAGGCGGAAUCACUGGGCUUAAAGCGUGUGUAGGCGGGUCGUUAAGUGCCUUGUGAAAUCCCAUGGCUCAACCAUGGAACUGCUGGGCAUACUGGCGAUCUUGUGCAACCUAGGGGCGAGCGGAACAGAUGGUGGAGCGGUGAAAUGCGUAGAUAUGCGGAGGAACACCGAUGGCGAAGGCAAUCCCCUGGGCCUGCACUGACGCUCAUGCACGAAAGCGUGGGGAGCAAACAGG
rnacentral:rRNA from 1 species